rnacentral:rRNA from 1 species
UCCAGACUCCUACGGGAGGCAGCAGUGAGGAAUAUUGGUCAAUGGGCGGAAGCCUGAACCAGCCAAGUCGCGUGAGGGAAUAAGGCCCUACGGGUCGUAAACCUCUUUUGCCGGGGAGCAAGGGCCGGGACGCGUCCCGGCCCGGAGAGUACCCGGAGAAAAAGCAUCGGCUAACUCCGUGCCAGCAGCCGCGGUAAUACGGAGGAUGCGAGCGUUAUCCGGAUUUAUUGGGUUUAAAGGGUGCGUAGGCGGGCUUUUAAGUCAGCGGUAAAAAUUCGGGGCUCAACCCCGGCGAGCCGUUGAAACUGGCUGUCUUGAGAUGUCGAGAGGUAUGCGGAAUGCGCAGUGUAGCGGUGAAAUGCUUAGAUAUUGCGCAGAACUCCGAUUGCGAAGGCAGCAUACCGGCGGCGAUCUGACGCUGAGGCACGAAAGCGUGGGUAUCGAACAGGAUUAGAUACCCCGGUAC